rnacentral:tRNA from 1 species
UGCGGGUGGGCCAGCGUCCUGCGGAGCCUCAUAAGCUUCGCCUGCCGGGUGCGACCCCCGGACCCGCUA